GAUGAAGAACGUAGCGAAAUGCGAUACGUAAUGUGAAUUGCAGAAUUCAGUGAAUCAUCGAAUCUUUGAACGCAUAUUGCGCUCUCUGGUAUUCCGGAGAGCAUGCUUGUUUGAGUAUCAGUAAACACCUCAACUCCCUUUUCUUUUUUGAAAUUGGAGCUGGACUUGAGUGAUCCCAACGCUUUCUUCCAAGAAAGUGGCGGGUUGCUUGAAAUGCAGGUACAGCUGAACUUUUCUCUGAGCUAUAAGCAUAUCUAUUUAGUCUGCCUAAAAAACAGAUUAUUACCUUUGCUGCAGCUAACAUAAAGGAGACUAGUUCUUGUGCUGACUGAUGCAGGAUUCACAGAGACAGCUUCGGCUGACUUUGUAAACUCGAUCUCAAAUCAAGUAAGACUACCCGCUGAACUUAAGCAUAUCAAUAAGCGGAGGA
rnacentral:misc_RNA from 1 species